GGUUAAGCGACUAAGCGUACACGGUGGAUGCCCUGGCAGUCAGAGGCGAUGAAGGACGUGCUAAUCUGCGAUAAGCGUCGGUAAGGUGAUAUGAACCGUUAUAACCGGCGAUUUCCGAAUGGGGAAACCCAGUGUGAUUCGUCACACUAUCAUUAACUGAAUCCAUAGGUUAAUGAGGCGAACCGGGGGAACUGAAACAUCUAAGUACCCCGAGGAAAAGAAAUCAACCGAGAUUCCCCCAGUAGCGGCGAGCGAACGGGGAGCAGCCCAGAGCCUGAAUCAGUGUGUGUGUUAGUGGAAGCGUCUGGAAAGGCGCGCGAUACAGGGUGACAGCCCCGUACACAAAAAUGCACAUGCUGUGAGCUCGAUGAGUAGGGCGGGACACGUGGUAUCCUGUCUGAAUAUGGGGGGACCAUCCUCCAAGGCUAAAUACUCCUGACUGACCGAUAGUGAACCAGUACCGUGAGGGAAAGGCGAAAAGAACCCCGGCGAGGGGAGUGAAAAAGAACCUGAAACCGUGUACGUACAAGCAGUGGGAGCCUCUUUUAUGGGGUGACUGCGUACCUUUUGUAUAAUGGGUCAGCGACUUAUAUUCUGUAGCAAGGUUAACCGAAUAGGGGAGCCGAAGGGAAACCGAGUCUUAACUGGGCGUUAAGUUGCAGGGUAUAGACCCGAAACCCGGUGAUCUAGCCAUGGGCAGGUUGAAGGUUGGGUAACACUAACUGGAGGACCGAACCGACUAAUGUUGAAAAAUUAGCGGAUGACUUGUGGCUGGGGGUGAAAGGCCAAUCAAACCGGGAGAUAGCUGGUUCUCCCCGAAAGCUAUUUAGGUAGCGCCUCGUGAAUUCAUCUCCGGGGGUAGAGCACUGUUUCGGCAAGGGGGUCAUCCCGACUUACCAACCCGAUGCAAACUGCGAAUACCGGAGAAUGUUAUCACGGGAGACACACGGCGGGUGCUAACGUCCGUCGUGAAGAGGGAAACAACCCAGACCGCCAGCUAAGGUCCCAAAGUCAUGGUUAAGUGGGAAACGAUGUGGGAAGGCCCAGACAGCCAGGAUGUUGGCUUAGAAGCAGCCAUCAUUUAAAGAAAGCGUAAUAGCUCACUGGUCGAGUCGGCCUGCGCGGAAGAUGUAACGGGGCUAAACCAUGCACCGAAGCUGCGGCAGCGACGCUGAUGCGUUGUUGGGUAGGGGAGCGUUCUGUAAGCCUGUGAAGGUGUGCUGUGAGGCAUGCUGGAGGUAUCAGAAGUGCGAAUGCUGACAUAAGUAACGAUAAAGCGGGUGAAAAGCCCGCUCGCCGGAAGACCAAGGGUUCCUGUCCAACGUUAAUCGGGGCAGGGUGAGUCGACCCCUAAGGCGAGGCCGAAAGGCGUAGUCGAUGGGAAACAGGUUAAUAUUCCUGUACUUGGUGUUACUGCGAAGGGGGGACGGAGAAGGCUAUGUUGGCCGGGCGACGGUUGUCCCGGUUUAAGCGUGUAGGCUGGUUUUCCAGGCAAAUCCGGAAAAUCAAGGCUGAGGCGUGAUGACGAGGCACUACGGUGCUGAAGCAACAAAUGCCCUGCUUCCAGGAAAAGCCUCUAAGCAUCAGGUAACAUCAAAUCGUACCCCAAACCGACACAGGUGGUCAGGUAGAGAAUACCAAGGCGCUUGAGAGAACUCGGGUGAAGGAACUAGGCAAAAUGGUGCCGUAACUUCGGGAGAAGGCACGCUGAUAUGUAGGUGAAGUCCCUCGCGGAUGGAGCUGAAAUCAGUCGAAGAUACCAGCUGGCUGCAACUGUUUAUUAAAAACACAGCACUGUGCAAACACGAAAGUGGACGUAUACGGUGUGACGCCUGCCCGGUGCCGGAAGGUUAAUUGAUGGGGUCAGCGCAAGCGAAGCUCUUGAUCGAAGCCCCGGUAAACGGCGGCCGUAACUAUAACGGUCCUAAGGUAGCGAAAUUCCUUGUCGGGUAAGUUCCGACCUGCACGAAUGGCGUAAUGAUGGCCAGGCUGUCUCCACCCGAGACUCAGUGAAAUUGAACUCGCUGUGAAGAUGCAGUGUACCCGCGGCAAGACGGAAAGACCCCGUGAACCUUUACUAUAGCUUGACACUGAACAUUGAGCCUUGAUGUGUAGGAUAGGUGGGAGGCUUUGAAGUGUGGACGCCAGUCUGCAUGGAGCCGACCUUGAAAUACCACCCUUUAAUGUUUGAUGUUCUAACGUGGACCCGUAAUCCGGGUUGCGGACAGUGUCUGGUGGGUAGUUUGACUGGGGCGGUCUCCUCCUAAAGAGUAACGGAGGAGCACGAAGGUUGGCUAAUCCUGGUCGGACAUCAGGAGGUUAGUGCAAUGGCAUAAGCCAGCUUGACUGCGAGCGUGACGGCGCGAGCAGGUGCGAAAGCAGGUCAUAGUGAUCCGGUGGUUCUGAAUGGAAGGGCCAUCGCUCAACGGAUAAAAGGUACUCCGGGGAUAACAGGCUGAUACCGCCCAAGAGUUCAUAUCGACGGCGGUGUUUGGCACCUCGAUGUCGGCUCAUCACAUCCUGGGGCUGAAGUAGGUCCCAAGGGUAUGGCUGUUCGCCAUUUAAAGUGGUACGCGAGCUGGGUUUAGAACGUCGUGAGACAGUUCGGUCCCUAUCUGCCGUGGGCGCUGGAGAACUGAGGGGGGCUGCUCCUAGUACGAGAGGACCGGAGUGGACGCAUCACUGGUGUUCGGGUUGUCAUGCCAAUGGCACUGCCCGGUAGCUAAAUGCGGAAGAGAUAAGUGCUGAAAGCAUCUAAGCACGAAACUUGCC
rnacentral:rRNA from 1 species